UUAUUGAUUAUGGUAAUUGUUAGGAGUGCUACUGGUAGUACGCAGCGAAAAGGUGCUGCGCUACGGUCUGCCAAUGCACGCUAACGUGCAUUUUUCCUAGUAUUCCACUGAUCGGAACGAUAAAGGUCAACGCAAUGUAAAACUUGAAAUGGUUCGAAAUGGUUUGAAAAUCGUUUGAGAAUGGUGUGAACCCUUUUGAUAAUGUGAUGGCAAAACGUUUCCUAACUUUCACAAAUUAAAGUACUAAUGCUUUUCGACAAGAAGUGAAUGCGUCCCUCUAUAAUUGUUGAAACACUCUUUGUAAAAAAAAACUUACUCGAUCUGGGACGAAACUUUUUCUGUCAGGAAAGGUAGCAGCCUAUUUUACUAAGGGGAUGCACGGUGCUAAUCUGGUUUCUUGCAGUUAUUAGUAAAAUGAACGAGGCACGACAAAAAAGCAAAGGUGGAAUUAUUCAUCUGGCCUUCGUAUCUUCAAAGUUAUUUACCAGCAGCAGUUUACUGAAAUCUGUUACUCGCCCUGCAUUUGGUUCGGCAUUCACUUUGUCCUGUAAAGUAAGAUAUCCUAAUCAAGUCGAUUGGAACAAAACCGAAACAUAUCCAGUAUGGAAUCAUCACUCUCUUGGAAGAAUUUCCUAUUCGCCCAAUUUUGCCGUUAACAUUGAUUGCCAUUCAAAACGUGCUUUGGAUGCCACUGUCAGCGAUCUGUACAUCUGGGGCCCUUCCAUUAUGAAUUAAAAAUGGUCAAGAGCCAAUCCAGAGCCGACGCAAAUUUGAUGGUAUCAACGCUCCAUAUAGGAGAGGCUAUACAGUUUUUUGCUGGAGACUAUACUUGCACACAAAAGAAACCGGACAAUGAUUCAUCCGUGACUGCACGCAUUUUGGCUAUUCCGCUUUAUCAGCCGCGGGAUGUCUUUAUUCCCCCAAUGCAGAACGUAACAGCGCGCCAGGGUGAGAAGACUGAGUUCCGUUGUUAUACUCGCUUCGAGCUGCACCGCGGAUCAUGUGAUGAAUAUUCCGAUCGCUUAAUUUGGCAUCAUGAACACGGCGUUCUUUGGGCAUCAGUGAGUGUAUUACAGAUAAAUGCGGACGAAAAAUUCCAUAGCAGAUACGUUGUCAAGUGGGUGCUGUCAGAAAACGGAACAUGUGCGUGUUACUCAUCCAUAACCAUCGACACGGUUUCCCGUGGUUCGGGUGGACGCUUUGAGUGUUGGUUCCAAAUUGACCCUUUUUUGGACGAAUGGCUAAUUCAGUCAGCAUAUUUGAAUUUUGAACAUUAGGAGCCUCCUCGGAAAUGAUUGUUAUUAGUGUGCAUUAAACGAGCUAGUUCUGCUUCUACCGAUGAAGCUAUCGCGUUUGUAUUUUGCCCAGCACCAACUGGGACUGUUUGAAGGUAACCAUAACGGACAAUAUCAUUUGGGAUACCAUUCCAAUGUGCAGAUAAAUCUUCGAUACCGGUCUUUUACAACGGGGAAGGCAUAAUGCUGGUGGAAGUUACAAUUCUGAUAUUUAUUGUGUUAAUUAGCUAGAUAGCUUCGGCGUGGGUGUUGUUGGAACCUUGCUUUUUACUUUGUGACAUGUUAUUCAACUAGACCACUGGGUUUGGCAGGGUGUUUGUCCUGCUGAAAUUGUUGUAAGCAAAUGUGUUUUGGUUUUCUGACUUCUGAGGUCACGUGCUACUGGUACUAUUCUGCAGUAAAGAACUUCUUUACCUUGCAUUGGAUACAUCCCUGAUCGGAUUAACAUGCCUUGCAUCCAGGCGAUCGGUGGCCACUGCCAGUCUGCAAACGCCAGCACUUCCAUAGUUGCUAGGAAAUUCGUUCUGCUACCACAUUUUUCAAAAUGUUGCACUUGAUUUUAAUAGCCACUGAAAUUACGACAAAUUGAGUCUAAACUCUAAACGCCAAUUUUACGUGGAAGAUUGGUUGACCUACAUGCACCAGUUCCAACCAGUGGAAAAUGGAGUCUGUUGCAGAAUUUGGCUCUAAGCCAUUUUUUCAAGAACUGUUAGAAAUGUUCCAAGUUCACCCGGAUUUACUGCAUCCAGCUACGGGUAAUCCAAUGACGAAAGAGGAACUGCUUAAUCUGUUUGCACCUCCUGUGCCUUGCGAUUUUGCCGUCACUGAACCAUCUGACGGACCCGAAUUUUUUAU